AGAACGAACGCUGGCGGCAGGCUUAACACAUGCAAGUCGAACGCUCGUAGCAAUACGGGAGUGGCAGACGGGUGAGUAACACGUGGGAACGUCCCCCUCGGUUCGGAAUAACUCAGGGAAACUUGAGCUAAUACCGGAUACGUCCGAGAGGAGAAAGAUUUAUCGCCGAGGGAUCGGCCCGCGUCUGAUUAGCUAGUUGGUGAGGUAACGGCCCACCAAGGCGACGAUCAGUAGCUGGUCUGAGAGGAUGACCAGCCACACUGGGACUGAGACACGGCCCAGACUCCUACGGGAGGCAGCAGUGGGGAAUCUUGGACAAUGGGCGCAAGCCUGAUCCAGCCAUGCCGCGUGAGUGAUGAAGGCCUUAGGGUUGUAAAGCUCUUUCGACGGGGACAUAAUGACGGUACCGUAGAAGAAGCCCCGGCUAACUUCGUGCCAGCAGCCGC
rnacentral:rRNA from 1 species